GGUUUCGAUCUGAGUGUAAGUUACGGUCGCAUGCGACACGUGCUUUUUCAAUUUAGUUCGGUCCAGUUUAAUGCUCUCGUACUCCUUCCCCAUGUAAAAGCCGGUCAUCUAUCCGACCCGUCUUGAAACACGGACCAAGGAGUUUAUCGUGUGCGCAAGUUUUUGGGUGUUAGAAACCUAAAAGCGAAAUGAAAGUAAAUGGCUCUUUAGAGUCUGAUGUGCGAUCUUGUAAAAAAGUGCAGCAUGGCCACAUUCUAACUGUUUACAGUAGGGUGGCGGAAGAGCGUACGCGGUGAGACCCGAAAGAUGGUGAACUAUUCCUGAGCAGGAUGAAGCCAGAGGAAACUCUGGUGGAAGUCCGAAGCGGUUCUGACGUGCAAAUCGAUCGUCUGACUUGGGUAUAGGGGCGAAAGACUAAUCGAACCAUCUAGUAGCUGGUUCCCUCUGAAGUUUCCCCCAGGAUAGCUGGAGCUCACGAGUAGUUAUACUCGGUAAAGCGAAUGAUUAGAGGACUUGGGAACGAAAUGUUCUUAACCUAUUCUCAAACUCUAAAUGGGUAUGAUGUCAAAGUUGCUUGAUUUUGAACUUUGGCGUUGAAUACGAGCUCCAAGUGGGCCAUUUUUGGUAAGCAGAACUGGCGAUGUGGGAUGAACCAAACGCGGAGUUGCGGUGCCAAAGUGCCCGCUCAUUAGACCCCAUAAAAGGUGUUGGUUGAUACAGACAGCAGGACGGUGGCCAUGGAAGUCGGAAUCCGCUAAGGAGUGUGUAACAACUCACCUGCCGAAUCAACUAGCCCUGAAAAUGGAUGGCGCUGGAGCGGGCCACCUAUACUCUGCCGUCAUAUGCUUGUAUUUUUGAAAAGUCUUGCAAUGACGUGUAAGAGGGUCGUAGUGGUUGCGUUGAAGGCUUUGGGUGUGCACCCAGCUGGAGCUUCCACUAGUGCAGAUCUUGGUGGUAGUAGCAAAUAUUCAAGUGAGAUCCUUGAAGACUGAAGUGGAGAAGGGUUCCACGUGAACAGCAGUUGAAUGUGGGUCAGUCGAUCCUAAGGCACCGGCUAAAGCCGUCUAGACACUGCGGGGAGAUGAGAUACUUAACGGUAUUUUGUCCACCCGGUUGCCGAAAGGGAAGUGGGUUAAUAUUCCCACACCAGGCAUGGGAGAUGGUGAUCCGCAAGGAUUACUUUGCGCGGUGACGCAAACGAACUCGUAGACCUCGUGUGGAGUCCGGGCCAGAGUUCUCUUUUCUGGUUUAGAGAUCAUGUCCCUGGAAGUGGCUCAGCCUGAGAUAGGGAUGCUGUUCUCGUAAAGCGCAGCGGUUCCUGUUGUGUCCCGUGUGCUCCACAUGAGCCGUGAAAAUGCGAGGGAGGCAAUUUAAAAUCUCCUGCCUGAUCGUACCCAUAUCCGCAGCAGGUCUCCAAGGUGAACAGCCUCUAGUCGAUAGAAUAAUGUAGGUAAGGGAAGUCGGCAAAUUAGAUUCGUAACUUCGGGAAAAGAAUUGGCUCUAAAGGUUGGGUCAGUCGGGCUGUUGUGUGAAACAGGUGGACUUUGCUCGUGGCUGCUUGCGCUUCCUUUCGGGGCGGCGCUUGUGGACUAGUAGUGAGGACUGCUUGUGGACCUCUCGUUGAGCAAAAAGGCAAAUGCUUACUUGAUCUUGAUUUUCAGUACGAAUACAGACCGCGAAAGCGUGGCUUAUCGAUCCUUUUGAGUUUGUAAAGUUUACAGCAAGAGGUGUCAGAAAAGUUACCACAGGGGAUAACUGGCUUGUGGCGGCCAAGCGUCCAUAGCGACGUCGCUUUUUGAUCCUUCGAUGUCGGCUCUUCCUAUCAUUGCGAAGCAGAAUUCGCCAAGCGUUGGAUUGUUCACCCACCAAUAGGGAACGUGAGCUGGGUUUAGACCGUCGUGAGACAGGUUAGUUUUACCCUACUAAAUACUUGUUGCUAUGAUGGUAAUCCUGCUUAGUACGAGAGGAACCGCAGGUUCAGACAUUUGGUUCAUGUGCUUGGUCGAUAGGCCAAUGGCGCGAAGCUACCAUCUGAGGGAUUAUGACUGAACGCCUC
rnacentral:rRNA from 1 species